CCUACGGGUGGCAGCAGUGGGGAAUAUUGCGCAAUGGGCGAAAGCCUGACGCAGCGACGCCGCGUGAGGGAUGAAGGUCCUCGGAUCGUAAACCUCUGUCAGCAGGGAAGAACGGUCACUGUGCUAAUCAGCAGUGAAUUGACGGUACCUGCAAAGGAAGCACCGACUAACUCCGUGCCAGCAGCCGCGGUAAUACGGAGGGUGCGAGCGUUAAUCGGAAUUACUGGGCGUAAAGCGCUCGUAGGCGGUAUGUCAAGUCAAGGGUGAAAUCCCCGCGCUCAACGUGGGAACUGCCUUUGAAACUGGCAGACUGGAGUGUGUGAGAGGAUAGUGGAAUUCCAGGUGUAGGAGUGAAAUCCGUAGAUAUCUGGAGGAACAUCAGUGGCGAAGGCGACUAUCUGGCACAUAACUGACGCUGAGGAGCGAAAGCGUGGGUAGCAAACAGGAUUAGAUACCCUGGUAGUC
rnacentral:rRNA from 1 species